rnacentral:rRNA from 1 species
CUACGGGACGCUGCAGUGGGGAAUAUUGCACAAUGGGCGCAAGCCUGAUGCAGCAACGCCGCGUGAGGGACGAAGGCCUUCGGGUUGUAAACCUCUUUUAGCAGGGAAGAAGCGAAAGUGACGGUACCUGCAGAAAAAGCACCGGCUAACUACGUGCCAGCAGCCGCGGUAAUACGUAGGGUGCAAGCGUUGUCCGGAAUUAUUGGGCGUAAAGAGCUCGUAGGCGGUUUGUCACGUCUGCUGUGAAAUUUCGAGGCUCAACCUCGAACUUGCAGUGGGUACGGGCAGGCUAGAGUGCGGUAGGGGAGAUGGGAAUUCCUGGUGUAGCGGUGGAAUGCGCAGAUAUCAGGAGGAACACCAAUGGCGAAGGCACAUCUCUGGGCCGUAACUGACGCUGAGGAGCGAAAGCGUGGGGAGCAAACAGGAUUAGAUACCCCCGUAGUC